GGCUGAUUGGUGUAGUGGUAUCAUGUCUGCUUAGGGUGCAGGCGACCCGAGUUCAAUCCUCGGAUCAGCCC
rnacentral:tRNA from 1 species